AGAGUUUGAUCCUGGCUCAGGAUGAACGCUGGCGGUAUGCUUAACACAUGCAAGUCGAACGGUGUCUUCGGACACAGUGGCGGACGGGUGAGUAACGCGUGAGAAUCUGGCUUUAGGUCUGGGACAACCACUGGAAACGGUGGCUAAUACCGGAUGUGCCCGUAAUUGGGUGAAAGGUUAACUGCCUGAAGAUGAGCUCGCGUCUGAUUAGCUAGUUGGAAGUGUAAUGGACUCCCAAGGCGACGAUCAGUAGCUGGUCUGAGAGGACGAUCAGCCACACUGGGACUGAGACACGGCCCAGACUCCUACGGGAGGCAGCAGUGGGGAAUUUUCCGCAAUGGGCGAAAGCCUGACGGAGCAAUACCGCGUGAGGGAGGAAGGCUCUUGGGUCGUAAACCUCUUUUCUCAGGGAAGAACACAAUGACGGUACCUGAGGAAUAAGCAUCGGCUAACUCCGUGCCAGCAGCCGCGGUAAUACGGAGGAUGCAAGCGUUAUCCGGAAUGAUUGGGCGUAAAGCGUCCGCAGGUGGCAAUGUAAGUCUGCUGUUAAAGAGUCUAGCUCAACUAGAUAAGAGCAGUGGAAACUACAUAGCUAGAGUACGUUCGGGGCAGAGGGAAUUCCUGGUGUAGCGGUGAAAUGCGUAGAGAUCAGGAAGAACACCAGUGGCGAAGGCGCUCUGCUAGGCCGUAACUGACACUGAGGGACGAAAGCUAGGGGAGCGAAUGGGAUUAGAUACCCCAGUAGUCCUAGCCGUAAACGAUGGAUACUAGGCGUGGCUUGUAUCGACCCGAGCCGUGCCGUAGCUAACGCGUUAAGUAUCCCGCCUGGGGAGUACGCCGGCAACGGUGAAACUCAAAGGAAUUGACGGGGGCCCGCACAAGCGGUGGAGUAUGUGGUUUAAUUCGAUGCAACGCGAAGAACCUUACCAAGGCUUGACAUGUCGCGAAUCUUCUCGAAAGGGAAGAGUGCCUUCGGGAGCGCGAACACAGGUGGUGCAUGGCUGUCGUCAGCUCGUGUCGUGAGAUGUUGGGUUAAGUCCCGCAACGAGCGCAACCCUCGUUUUUAGUUGCCAGCAUUAAGUUGGGCACUCUAGAGAGACUGCCGGUGACAAACCGGAGGAAGGUGGGGAUGACGUCAAGUCAGCAUGCCCCUUACGCCUUGGGCUACACACGUACUACAAUGCUCCGGACAGAGGGCAGCAAGCAUGCGAAUGCAAGCAAAUCCCGUAAACCGGAGCUCAGUUCAGAUCGCAGGCUGCAACUCGCCUGCGUGAAGGAGGAAUCGCUAGUAAUUGCAGGUCAGCAUACUGCAGUGAAUUCGUUCCCGGGCCUUGUACACACCGCCCGUCACACCAUGGAAGCUGGUAGUGCCCGAAGUCAUUACUCCAACCUUUCGGGGAGGAGGAUGCCUAAGGCAGGACUGGUGACUGGGGUGAAGUCGUAACAAGGUAGCCGUACCGGAAGGUGUGGCUGGAUCACCUCCUU
rnacentral:rRNA from 2 species